rnacentral:lncRNA from 13 species
AUUGGUGAAAUGGUUGGCAAUUCUUGAAUGUACUGGGAGCUAAUGCGCUCUUAUGGGUAAGUAUAAAAGAGAAAAUCUGUUGAACAAUUACGUUUUUUCCUUGAGAUAGUCUUGCUCUCUCACUUAGGCUGUGGUGCAAUGGUGCGAUCUCAGCUCACUGUAACCUCUGCCUCCUGGGUUUAAGCGAUUCUUCUGCCCCAGCCUCCUGAGUAGUUGGGAUUACAGGCAUGGGCCACAAUAAAAAAAUUUAAAUUUUUUUUUUUUUAUUUUUGUAGAUACGGAGUUUCACCACAUUGAUCAGGAUGAUCUCAAACUCCUGACCUCAAUAUCCAUCCAACUCAGCCUCCCAAAGUGCUGGGAUUACAGGAGUGAGCCAUGCACCCAGCCAAACAAUUACUUUUAUGAAGAAGAGGACCUUGCUCUUCCUAUAGUCUGCCUAUGAUUAAGGAAAGUAGAGGCUGGAAAAAAAAAAACAUAAUUCAUAGCUAACUUGUGUCAGAGGAAAUGCCUUCUGCCUCAUGGUCCCCAAUUUACCAACCAAGAAACUAUAGUUGAGGACAUCUCUGUACUGAAAUUGGCGGUUGUGCUACAGCAACUGAUUAUGAAGGGCAUCAAGAAGGCUCUCAGGAUGAUCUAUAUGAAAAGAAAAGUUAAAAUUUUGAGAAGACAAGGUGAAAUACCUGCUAGAGCUCAAUCACCUGUUUACGAGAUGCUUAGUACAUUUUGUGCAGCUGUAAACUAAGCGAGAGUGAAUUGAGAUGAGUGAGGAGAAGGUGAUCAGGAGAAUGCAGUGAAACAAAACCAGGAGAACCACACACGGAAGACUGGAUAUAAUUGCUAUUCUGCCACUUCAUAGCUGUUGUAAUUAUGCAUAUUGUCUACCUUCUCUCACCUUAUUUAAUUAAUAAAUGCAACAAAAUCCUUUUUGUCUCA